CCUUCUCCUGCAGCACAGCCUGGAGCCUGACUCCUGUACAUGGUGAAUUACAGCCCAGGAGGCUCCAUAGUGAAGGGUUGUCAGAGGAGGACACGCCUGCCCCCAGGUUCCUACAAUAUAGGAUCCGCUCAGUGGAUAUCUUCUAUAUAAGAUACUUCUACGGAUUUACCCGACAAGAAUGGACAGGGACAAGAUGGCGGAGAGUAUAAUAAAUCUCACCCUAGAGAUCCUCUUCUGGCUUACUGGAGAGGACUACACAGUAGUGAAGAAGACCUCUAGUGAGCGCUAUCAGGCCCCUGUGUCUGAAG